rnacentral:lncRNA from 1 species
AGACUACAUAUCUUUAUUUGUAUGUUACCAUCAUUAAUAUUGCUAUUUUUCUUUCUUUUUAGAUUUCUCCAUAAACAUAUUGGCAUUUAUAUAAUCUCAAACAAUGGAGGCUGGUGAAAGGAGCUGUAGGAGGAUGGGCUCAUUGUAAUGGCUUGAAUGGAAUAAAUGUAACUGUAUCAAACACAUCAAACAUAUGCAAAUCGAAUGUUUGUCUCUGUUCCAUUUCAGACAUUAAAAUGAGCCUGUCCUUCUAUAGUUCCUCCCACCAGCCUCCACUGAUCGCAAAAUCACAGGUCUCCAAACCACCAGUGCUGGUUAUAGACUCUCUCUCUUAGCCCAAGUACAUCCCCUUUACCAGGUUGGAAAAGAUAUGACAGAAACAUUUACAAUAUUAAAACUAUGACUAAUAUAGAUACACAUUACGAUUAGAUGCUGGUGUCAGGGACCAUAAUGGCUUAUAACAAUAAUAGACUAAUGUACCAAUGGGCCAGAAUGUUUCUUUGCAAUUACAUAUAAAUAUAUUUAGAUAUCUGAGACAGCAAGAUGAUUUUGAGUGUGAAGAACUACACUACAUGGCCAACAAUAUCUAUACAUUAUAGUAGCCUAAACAUGUGGUAUUGAGAGUGAAAACAUUUCAACAAUGAAAGACCUCUGCAAACGAAUACACUUUGACUUGAACACGUUACUGUGUGAAGAACAGUAUGUAUUUGAAAGUAGCAGUACUGAUCAGCUCCAUCCUGUCCAUAGAUCAGCCUCUCCUACUCAGAGAUGCUUGAUACAUGUGGCCCCAGGCCUCAGUGAGUCAUGCAGUCCUAUGACAAGCAGUGUAAAAGAGAUGGAAACAGCUAGGUGGUGAUUAUGGCCAUGUGACCUUGUAUUUGCAUAUUUAUGACCAAAUAUUCCCCUCUGCAUUCUGAUUUGAUUAAUAGCUGGAAUAAAUAGAGAAUUCAGUAUAAAUCUGAAAGUGAAAUGUAAUAGUAGUCCAUACACACAGUACACACAUUUAAAAUCAAGGCCAUAGGAAAGGUUGAAUUGAUUUUAACCUUCAUCCUCCAAAGGAAAGGAAUACUAAAAUAGCAACUACAUGCAUAUUGAUGUAGAGGUAAUGGAAUAUAUAUUUUAGUAUAAAUAUUUGAUCUGUCCAGGUCUGAGCGUGUAGUUCAUCAUAAAAGGUUGCUUCUCUUCCUCUGCCCUAGCUCGUUCACUCCCCUAGUCCGUCUCACAGAUCUAAGACAUCUGACUGGGCCCGUAUUCAGUCUAGGAUCAGCACCCCCUCCCUGUCUAUAUAGUCUUAAUGAAUAUGAUUUAAAAGGGAAAACUGAUCCUCGAUCAGCCUUCAUACUCUGAGAUGCUUUGUGAAUAUGGGCCCUGGUACAGUAGGUGUCAAGAAAACAAGCCUUCAGAUUGGAUAAGUGUUGGCGAUUCCACCAUGUUGCUUUCAUCCAUCCAGACAGAUUGGAUAGGAGGUGGACUUUCCACCAUGUUGCUUUCAUCCAUCCAGACAGAUUGGAUAGGAGGUGGACUUUCCACCAUGUUGCUUUCAUCCAUCCAGUCAGAUUG